rnacentral:rRNA from 1 species
UUUAGACCACGGCAGACGGCUGCGUAACACGUUGGAACCUGCCCCGAACUCAGGGAUAACCCUCCGAAAGGAGGAGUAAUACCGGAUAAUCUCGUAAGAGCAAAGCUUUUGCGGUUCGGGAGGGGCCUGCGGCCUAUCAGUUAGUUGGUGAGGUAACGGCCCACCAAGACGAUGACGGGUAGCUGAUCUGAGAGGAUGAUCAGCCAGAAUGGAACUGCGACACGGUCCAU